rnacentral:tRNA from 1 species
AGGAAGGUUGCUCACUGGGUAGAGUGCAUGCCUUGCAGGCAUGAGGUGCCCAGGUUCCCUUCCUG